AAUAGUUUAUUUGGUACCAAGUAUCUACCAAGUUUUAGGUACGACAUAAAUGAAUGUCAAAAGUCUGACGUCUGGCAAAGGCAUGCGUUUUCUAUCAUGUUUCUACAUGAUUCCUACAAUAAGUUAUUUCUGUUAUAAUAAAUGGCACUAGUUUGUUAAAUGACAGUUGCGUGAAAGUGUCAGCCUACAUGCAGCAUGCCUUAAUAAUACAAUUAAUCAGAUCACCAAGCUUUAGCUACUUCUGAAAAUUGACUCAUGGAUAUUAAAUGGGACGGCUGUAAAUGGCAGUAAAGAUCCCGUGCUCCUACCUUUCGCCCUUCAAGUCAAGUCAAGUCAAAAUAUUCUUUAUUCAAAUAGGCCUAGCAACAAGCACUUUUAAAUCGUCAAAUUUUACAAAUAUCAUCUUAAUCUAAAUAUCAGAGCAAUUUAUUGAUGCA